AGAGUUUGAUCAUGGCUCAGAUUGAACGCUGGCGGCAGGCCUAACACAUGCAAGUCGAACGGUAACAGGAAGCAGCUUGCUGCUUCGCUGACGAGUGGCGGACGGGUGAGUAAUGUCUGGGAAGCUGCCUGAUGGAGGGGGAUAACUACUGGAAACGGUAGCUAAUACCGCAUAAUGUCGCAAGACCAAAGAGGGGGACCUUCGGGCCUCUUGCCAUCGGAUGUGCCCAGAUGGGAUUAGCUUGUUGGUGGGGUAACGGCUCACCAAGGCGACGAUCCCUAGCUGGUCUGAGAGGAUGACCAGCCACACUGGAACUGAGACACGGUCCAGACUCCUACGGGAGGCAGCAGUGGGGAAUAUUGCACAAUGGGCGCAAGCCUGAUGCAGCCAUGCCGCGUGUAUGAAGAAGGCCUUCGGGUUGUAAAGUACUUUCAGCGGGGAGGAAGGGAGUAAAGUUAAUACCUUUGCUCAUUGACGUUACCCGCAGAAGAAGCACCGGCUAACUCCGUGCCAGCAGCCGCGGUAAUACGGAGGGUGCAAGCGUUAAUCGGAAUUACUGGGCGUAAAGCGCACGCAGGCGGUUUGUUAAGUCAGAUGUGAAAUCCCCGGGCUCAACCUGGGAACUGCAUCUGAUACUGGCAAGCUUGAGUCUCGUAGAGGGGGGUAGAAUUCCAGGUGUAGCGGUGAAAUGCGUAGAGAUCUGGAGGAAUACCGGUGGCGAAGGCGGCCCCCUGGACGAAGACUGACGCUCAGGUGCGAAAGCGUGGGGAGCAAACAGGAUUAGAUACCCUGGUAGUCCACGCCGUAAACGAUGUCGACUUGGAGGUUGUGCCCUUGAGGCGUGGCUUCCGGAGCUAACGCGUUAAGUCGACCGCCUGGGGAGUACGGCCGCAAGGUUAAAACUCAAAUGAAUUGACGGGGGCCCGCACAAGCGGUGGAGCAUGUGGUUUAAUUCGAUGCAACGCGAAGAACCUUACCUGGUCUUGACAUCCACGGAAGUUUUCAGAGAUGAGAAUGUGCCUUCGGGAACCGUGAGACAGGUGCUGCAUGGCUGUCGUCAGCUCGUGUUGUGAAAUGUUGGGUUAAGUCCCGCAACGAGCGCAACCCUUAUCCUUUGUUGCCAGCGGUCCGGCCGGGAACUCAAAGGAGACUGCCAGUGAUAAACUGGAGGAAGGUGGGGAUGACGUCAAGUCAUCAUGGCCCUUACGACCAGGGCUACACACGUGCUACAAUGGCGCAUACAAAGAGAAGCGACCUCGCGAGAGCAAGCGGACCUCAUAAAGUGCGUCGUAGUCCGGAUUGGAGUCUGCAACUCGACUCCAUGAAGUCGGAAUCGCUAGUAAUCGUGGAUCAGAAUGCCACGGUGAAUACGUUCCCGGGCCUUGUACACACCGCCCGUCACACCAUGGGAGUGGGUUGCAAAAGAAGUAGGUAGCUUAACCUUCGGGAGGGCGCUUACCACUUCGUGAUUCAUGACUGGGGUGAAGUCGUAACAAGGUA
rnacentral:rRNA from 1 species